GUCGGUCGUCGUCCCCAGCGGCUGUCCAUACACACACAGAAGCCAUCGAUAGGUACGGGCGGCUCCUCGUCGGACGGAGCCCGGCUCUUUGUCUGUCCUCGCUGAGCACUCAACUUGCCAGCUGCCGGUGGCCACGUUUGCUCGCCCAUUUCAUUGCGAGGACGGGCGGCUCUGUAGGUUAGUUGCGCCUCAUUACGACGUUCCACAAGAGGGGAGAUCCCUUGCAGAUUUCCCUUGUGGCUGUAACUUGCCUCAUUUCAUUUUCUUUACUUUCUAGGUGAGGGCGCCAAUGUACUUGUCCCGCUAUUUAUGUAUGCUUCGUGGUUCGCCGUUUCAUCUCUGAGGGGAAAGGAGGAGAGAGAGAG
rnacentral:lncRNA from 1 species